AGUACUCAUCGGUCAUUUCGAGAAACUCUGCGGCGCAACGGAGUGGAACAACGGUGGAGGAGGAGAGAUCGAUUUUGACGCCGUAACAGAAUUUGGCGGCGGUUUCGAAAGCGUCAGAACCACCCGGAAAAUCCUGCAGAGAUAUCUGGUCUGAAAACGUGGCGCUGGCUUUCAUUAUUAGCAACAUUGCCUCCACCCUUGUAAGUUCUUCCACCCUCUUCCUUGCUUUGCAUUUAUGAAUACAAUAAUGAGACAACUACUAAGGAAUAUUUUGUACGAUUUUCCAUUAAGGAUGUGUGUAAAUGGAGUUAGAGGAAGAUAGGGUGUGUAGGAAAAAUCGAAAAUUGAUUUGAAUAUUUUGGAGUAUAAAUUAAAAUUGUUGUUACUUGAAUUGAAUGGAAAUAUAUUUAUUUAUUUA